UGGGGAAUAUUUGACAAUGGGCGCAAGCCUGAUCCAGCCAUGCCGCGUGUGUGAAGAAGGCCUUUUGGUUGUAAAGCACUUUAAGCGAGGAGGAGGCUACUUGGAUUAAUACUCUAGGAUAGUGGACGUUACUCGCAGAAUAAGCACCGGCUAACUCUGUGCCAGCAGCCGCGGUAAUACAGAGGGUGCGAGCGUUAAUCGGAUUUACUGGGCGUAAAGCGUGCGUAGGCGGCUUCUUAAGUCGGAUGUGAAAUCCCUGAGCUUAACUUAGGAAUUGCAUUCGAUACUGGGAAGCUAGAGUAUGGGAGAGGAUGGUAGAAUUCCAGGUGUAGCGGUGAAAUGCGUAGAGAUCUGGAGGAAUACCGAUGGCGAAGGCAGCCAUCUGGCCUAAUACUGACGCGGAGGUACGAAAGCAUGGGGAGCAAACAGG
rnacentral:rRNA from 1 species